UACGAAGGGUGCAAGCGUUAAUCGGAAUUACUGGGCGUAAAGCGCGCGUAGGUGGUUUGUUAAGUUGGAUGUGAAAGCCCCGGGCUCAACCUGGGAACUGCAUCCAAAACUGGCAAGCGAGAGUAUGGCAGAGGGUGGUGGAAUUUCCUGUGUAGCGGUGAAAUGCGUAGAUAGAGGAAGGAACACCAGUGGCGAAGGCGACCACCUGGGAUAAUACUGACACUGAGGUGCGAAAGCGGGGGGAGCCAACAGGAUUAGAUACCCGUGUAGUCC
rnacentral:rRNA from 1 species